AUUGAACGCUGGCGGCAUGCCUUACACAAGCAAGUCGAACGGCAGCACGGGAGCAAUCCUGGUGGCGAGUGGCGAACGGGUGAGUAAUAUAUCGGAACGUGCCCAGUCGUGGGGGAUAACGUAGCGAAAGCUACGCUAAUACCGCAUACGAUCUAUGGAUGAAAGCGGGGGAUCGCAAGACCUCGCGCGAUUGGAGAGGCAGAUAUCAGAGUAGGUAGUUGGGGGGGUAAAGGCUCACCAAGCCGACGAUCUGUAGCUGGUCUGAGAGGACGACCAGCCACACUGGGACUGAGACACGGCCCAGACUCCUACGGGAGGCAGCAGUGGGGAAUUUUGGACAAUGGGCGCAAGCCUGAUCCAGCAAUGCCGCGUGCAGGAUGAAGGCCUUCGGGUUGUAAACUGCUUUUGUACGGAACGAAACGGCGAGCUCUAAUACAGUUCGCUAAUGACGGUACCGUAAGAAUAAGCACCGGCUAACUACGUGCCAGCCGCCGCCGUAA
rnacentral:rRNA from 1 species